rnacentral:rRNA from 1 species
CCUACGGGAGGCAGCAGUGAGGAAUAUUGGUCAAUGGGCGCGAGCCUGAACCAGCCAAGUCGCGUGAAGGAUGACUGCCCUAUGGGUUGUAAACAUCUUUUAUAUGGAGAUAAAACGUUCAACGUGUGCGUUUUUGCAUGUACCAUAUGAAUAAGGAUCGGCUAACCCCGUGCCAGCAGCCGCGGUAAUACGGAGGAUCCGAGCGUUAUCCGGAUUUAUUGGGUUUAAAGGGAGCGUAGGUGGAUUGUUAAGUCAGUUGUGAAAGUUUGCGGCUCAACCGUAAAAUUGCAGUUGAUACUGGCAGGCUUGAGUACAGUAGAGGUGGGCGGAAUUCGAGGUGUAGCGGUGAAAUGCGUAGAUAUCACGAAGAACUCCGAUGGCGAAGGCAGUUCACUGGAC